rnacentral:rRNA from 1 species
UACGAAGGGUGCACGCGUUAAUCGGAAUUACUGGGCGUAAAGGGUGCGUAGGCGGUUUGUUAAGUCUGUUGUGAAAUCCCCGGGCUCAACCUGGGAAUGGCAAUGGAUACUGGCAAGCUAGAGUGUGUCAGAGGAUGGUGGAAUUCCCGGUGUAGCGGUGAAAUGCGUAGAGAUCGGGAGGAACAUCAGUGGCGAAGGCGGCCAUCUGGGUCAACACUGCCGCUGACGCGCGACAGCGUGGGGAGCAUUCAGG